AACGAGAUUCCCACUGUCCCUAACUACUAUCUAGCGAAACCACAGCCAAGGGAACGGGCUUGGCAAAAUCAGCGGGGAAAGAAGACCCUGUUGAGCUUGACUCUAGUCUGACUUUGUGAAGAGACAUGAGAGGUGUAGCAUAAGUGGGAGCCUUGGGAUCAAUCUCAAUUAUUGCUUCGGUUUUAGUUGAGACCCCUUGGCGAUCAUGAAAUACCACUACUCUCAUCGUUUCUUUACUUACACGGUAAAAAGGAAAUUGGGUUAGUGCCUCUCUCUCUCUUGGAUUUCGGUUCAUGUUGAGGAGGCCACCUAUCUCUAAAUUCUAGAGCUAAAUGUGGUUCCAUCCAUACAUGCCUCAAGACACCUAGUUUUGUUUUGUUCUUCUCGGAGACUUGACAAACUAAAGACUUGGGUUUGGUUGGUAACCCGUGUUUGUUGGUCAAUGCUUGCAUUACCAUACAUUACACAAACCGCAUGAUCCUCGCCGUGGACAUUGUCAGGCGGGCAGUUUGACUGGGGCGGUACAUCUGUCAAAAGGUAACGCAGGUGUCCUAAGGC
rnacentral:rRNA from 1 species